rnacentral:rRNA from 1 species
UGGGGAAUUUUGGACAAUGGGCGAAAGCCUGAUCCAGCAAUGCCGCGUGUGUGAAGAAGGCCUUCGGGUUGUAAAGCACUUUUGUCCGGAAAGAAAUCCUUGGCUCUAAUACAGUCGGGGGAUGACGGUACCGGAAGAAUAAGCACCGGCUAACUACAUGCCAGCAGCCGCGGUAAUACGUAGGGUGCAAGCGUUAAUCGGAAUUACUGGGCGUAAAGCGUGCGCAGGCGGUUUGCUAAGACCGAUGUGAAAUCCCCGGGCUCAACCUGGGAACUGCAUUGGUGACUGGCAGGCUAGAGUAUGGCAGAGGGGGGUAGAAUUCCACGUGUAGCAGUGAAAUGCGUAGAGAUGUGGAGGAAUACCGAUGGCGAAGGCAGCCCCCUGGGCCAAUACUGACGCUCAUGCACGAAAGCGUGGGGAGCAAACAGGAUUAGAUACCCCUGGGUAGUCCACGCCCCUAAACGAUGUCAACUAGUUGUUGGGGAUUCAUUUCCUUAGUAACGUAGCUAACGCGUGAAGUUGACCGCCUGGGGAGUACGGUCGCAAGAUUAAAACUCAAAUGAAUUGACGGGGUCAUAGCUGUUU